GUGCAUGCAGCCCCUGUCACGUACCCCUUGCUUGACUGAAUCAAUCACGACCCUUUCAUGUAAAAUCUUUAGUGUUGUGAGCCCUUAAAUGGGACAGAAACUGUGCACUCAGGGAGCUUGGAUUUUAAGGCAGUAGCUUGCCGAUGCUACCAGCUGAAUAAAGCCCUUCCUUCUACAACUCGAUGUCUGAGAAGUUUUGUCUGCAGCUCGUCCUGCUACAUUUCUUGGUUCCCUGACCGGGAAGUGAGGUAAUUGACGGACUGCCGAGGCAGCACCUUAGGCGGCUUAGACGUGCCCUGUGGAGCAUCUCUGCGGGGGACUCCAGCCAGCCUGAGUGACGCGAUCCAAACAGCGCUCCUGGGUAGGAAAAUGCCCCAGUGGGAUGCCUCACCAGAGCAGCGCUUGGCAGGCCCCCGCGGAGGAUAAACACAGUGGCUGAACACCAGGAAGGAACUGGCACUUGGAGUCCAGACAUCUGAAACUUGGAAUCCUUCUUGGCACUGGGAAUACAGAGGUGAUGGGCAGGAAAAUUCCCUGAUUUUAUAGAGCUUAAAUUCUUGUAGGAGAGACAGACAAUAACAGCUUAAGUUCCUUGUAGAUCAUGGAUAUUAGACAAGAAAUAAAGCCACACACCUACAACCAUCUGACCUUUGACAAAGCUGACAAAAGCAAGAGGGAAAGGACUCUAUUCAAUAAGUGCUAGGAUAACUGGCUAGCCAUAUGCAGAAGAUUGAAACUGGACCCCUUCUUUAUACCAUACACAAGAAUCAACUAAAUGAUUGAAGACCUAAACGUAAAACCUAAAACUAUAAAAACCGUAGAAGAUAACCUAGAAAAUACCGUUUUGGACAUACGAACUGGCAAAGAUUCCAAAACAAAAAUGCCACAGGCAAUUGCAACAAAAGCAAAAAUUGACAAAUGAGACCUAACUAAAUUAAACUAAAGAGCUUCUGCACAGCAAAAGAAACUAUCAACAGGGUAAACAGGCAACCUACAGAAUGUGAGAAAAUAUUUGCAAACUAUAUAUCUAAUUCAUAUUUAUUAUAAGUGCAUGUUUACCUGUAUCUCCCAAUCAUUGUACCCUAACACCUAACCCAGAUGGUGACACAUAGUAAGUGCCUUGAUAAAUACUUGUUGAACAAAUCAAUGUUUCAUAGCUUUAGUUCUUUUUGUAAAAUAGAAUGUAAAGUUGGGGGUGGGAGUUUCAUGAAAAUCACAUACCUCUCAGAAAAGAAAACAAAUGGUGAUUAAAAAUGAGUAAAACAAUUACAAAAUAUAUUGUAGCCUUGCCUAUAUCAGACAAUAGCAAAAUAAUAAGGUUCCAGUUUGUACUUUAGAGUUCCCAAAUAAAAAUUUACAAAUCCCAUAAGGGUUGUAAUGAAAUUUGUAUUUCUAAAACCAUGGAAUUUAAACAUUCUUUGAAUAUUU
rnacentral:lncRNA from 1 species